rnacentral:pre_miRNA from 1 species
UCUCACGGAUGAGCGAAAAAAGUAGUUUCCUGUGAUGGAAUCUACUCCCGGUGAUGAAGCUGUGAA